ACAGUCACACAUUAGAUACCCGCGUAGUCCAGGGUGUAAACGCUGCGGGCUUGGUGUUGGGGGUCCUUUGAGGGCGCCCAGUGCCGGAGAGAAGUUGUUAAGCCUGCUGCUUGGGGAGUACGUCCGCAAGGAUGAAACUUAAAGGAAUUGGCGGGGGAGCACCGCAACGGGAGGAGCGUGCGGUUCAAUUGGAUUCAACGCCGGACAACUCACCAGGAGCGACGGUUACAUGAAGGCCAGGCUGAUGACCUUGCCUGAUUUUCCG
rnacentral:rRNA from 1 species